UGGACCACCAGCACUUGUGAUAUGGACAACAGUGCUGUUCAGUCACAAGGAAGCAUGUCAUCGAUCAGCACAAUCAACCAGAUACAUGAUCCGCAUGGUGGCUCCAGUAGCACUAAUGCACCUUCUGAAUUUGUAAACCAUGGUCUUUUUCUUUGGAAUCAAACAAGGCAGCGUUGGGUGGGAGAUAAAAGGUCUGGGAACCUUGCUCAGCAGUCUCGGGAACCCAAAUUAAAUUGGAAUGCGACAUAUGACAG
rnacentral:misc_RNA from 1 species